GACGAACGCUGGCGGCGUGCCUAAUACAUGCAAGUCGAACGCAUUUUCUUUCACCGUAGCUUGCUACACCGAAAGAAAAUGAGUGGCGAACGGGUGAGUAACACGUGGGUAACCUGCCCAUCAGCGGGGGAUAACACUUGGAAACAGGUGCUAAUACCGCAUAAUUCCAUUUACUGCAUGGUAGAUGGAUGAAAGGCGCUUUUGCGUCACUGAUGGAUGGACCCGCGGUGCAUUAGCUAGUUGGUGGGGUAACGGCCUACCAAGGCUGCGAUGCAUAGCCGACCUGAGAGGGUGAUCGGCCACACUGGGACUGAGACACGGCCCAGACUCCUACGGGAGGCAGCAGUAGGGAAUCUUCGGCAAUGGACGCAAGUCUGACCGAGCAACGCCGCGGGAGUGAAGAAGGGUGUCGGAUCGUAAAACUCUGUUGUUAGAAAAGAACAAGGAUGAGAGUGGAAAGUUCAUCCCUUGACGGUAGCUAACCAGAAAGCCACGGCUAACUACGUG
rnacentral:rRNA from 1 species